UGAGGAAUUUUGCGCAAUGGGCGAAAGCCUGACGGAGCGACGCCGCGUGGAGGAUGAAGGCCCUCGGGUUGUAAACUCCUUUUCCUGGGGAAGAAUAAAACCGGAAGUAACUGUCCGGUUGAUGACGGUACCCAGGGAAUAAGCCCCGGCUAAUUACGUGCCAGCAGCCGCGGUAAUACGUAUGGGGCGAGCGUUGUUCGAAUUUACUGGGCGUAAAGGGCUUGUAGGUGGUGAGAUAAGUCGGAUGUGAAAUCCCCGGGCUUAACCCGGGAACUGCAUUCGAAACUAUCUCGCUAGAGUACCGGAGAGGGAAACGGAAUUCCUGGUGUAGGGGUGAAAUCUGUAGAUAUCAGGAAGAACACCGGUGGCGAAGGCGGUUUCCUGGCCGGAUACUGACACUGAGGAGCGAAAGCUAGGGGAGCAAACAGGAUUAGAUACCCUGGUAGUCCUAGCCGUAAACGUUGUGCACUAGGUGUAAGUGGUUUCCCCACUUGUGCCGCAGCUAACGCAUUAAGUGCACCGCCUGGGGAGUAUGCUCGCAAGGGUG
rnacentral:rRNA from 1 species